UGGACCUCUGGGACCAGCAAGGGGCUGGGCCGCUGACUCCUCCCCUCCCCAGGGAGCUGAGGAAGAGACUGAGGGCAGAGGUGGGCCAGGGAGGAGUAAGCAACUCAAGCAUGGAUGAAAUCCAAGCUGCCUUGUAUGCGCACGUUGCUCCGGCCUUCGAGAGCUUCUGGGCUGAGGUGAGCGAGGGGCUGGACAGGCACGGAGUACAGCCCUCCCAGAUGCAAGACGAGGGCUGGCCCAAACUUCAGCCACUCCUGCAUUUGCUGGCUGCCAAGGUGGCCCUCAAGCGUCUAAAGAACAGGAAAGCCGCGGUGGGGUCAGUAGCUACAGCCCAGCCCAGCCAGGAAGACAAGGCCUCCUUCUGCCAAUUCCUCAGGGCUGCUGCCGAAGGCUGGCCCACCCUGGAGAUGCUGCACUUCCUCAAACACCUGCAGGUCCAUGGCCCCCCUGUGCUGGAGCACGGCCUGCACUUCCAGCUGGAGGUGCAGAAGUUCAAGAAUGCCCAUCACGCCAUGCCGGACAGGGCUCUCCUGAGGAAGAAGGUGCAGGUGAUCCGCAACUGCUUCCUUGUCUCCCAGCUGGAGCCCCGGCUGCAGGUGGCGGUGGAUGCUGAGAAGCUGGGGAGAGCUGUCCGGGCAGCUGAGCAGGCCCUCCAGCAGAAUGCCCCAGCACCACCUCCCGGCCUGUUCGAUGAGCUGAGGGAGUCUGUCUUCAGCACCCUACUGCCGUACUGGGCUGGGUUCCGAAAGGCCUGGCUGAAGCGGUCGCUUGAGAGUGCCCAGAGAGCCCCGGUGCUGAGAGCCCAGCAGCUCCUACAGCAGAGACGGGCCCUGUUUGAGCGGUCCCAGGGCCCACCACAAACAUUCCAGCUGCCUCCUCUGCAGCAGCGCGCCAACGUGAAGGGGAGCAAGCAGCAGGACAGCUUCACUUACACCUUCUCCGUCAGCAGGGGCAUUGCCCUGAAGGUCAGCGGGCAGGUUUGCACACCCACUCCUAAAGGGAACGGGCAGCCAGCAAAGGGUCGCAGCUGGCUGUAAACUCAGAACUCAGGCCUGAGGUGUUUAAUCUACGAAAUGCUCCUGCCAGCAGCUUGGCGACUUCGAUAAGACACAAAGGGGCUCAGCCUGGGUGUUCCUGCUGGUAGCCCCCAAGCUGCUCCUCCCACCCACAUGCCAGUACAGGAAGGAGGUGGCAUUUGCAGCAGCUAUUCAUAUAGCAACACCCACAACAAAUGGCACCUUGGACGGCUGGAGCCACUUUUCUCCAUAUACCAACAUCCCUCCCCAUUGUCCAAUACAGCCACUUCUGGGUUGGAACCCAGCAGCUGUUGAACAGCAGACAGUAACAACACACUACAGCCUAGGGCAGGAAGUGACCUACACAAACCCAAUGACCCCCCUCUCCUCCAGCUUGUUACAGGGCCUUUCUGCUCCUGUAAGCACACAGAAUUGGAUGUUAUAACUCCCUCUUUACUCAGGCCUCCAGCAGAGAAGAUACGAGCACCCGCACUUCUGUGUUUGGAAACGGCAAGAGGUCAGCACAAGUUCAACUUCCUCCCCUUCCCACGGUACCGGUGCUGCUCUGAACAGGACAGAAAGUGCGCUAGCCUACAGCACCCAAUGCAGAGCCGUAACACUGGCAACACGAAUGGCAGCUCGAGGUGGCCGGUGUGCUGCAAAAUCAAGCUCUGAGCUGUUUUUAAACACAGGGAAGGCAAACAGCCAACAGCUAGGAGAGAGAUCUGGGAACAGUGGCCCUGUGCUGUAGGGCGGCAUGGUAAAGCAAGGCUUGGGCACCCCGCUGGAAGUUCAAGGUCCCUUGGCACCGAGAGAAAACCUGGGAGUCUUGGCCAAAGUCCCUCUCAUUAAGGCAGGUUUCAAUUAGCCAGGCUGGACACAAGCUCUUGCUGAACCCAGAAGAGCUGAGGCUGCCUGCGUUCUCAGUGCUGCUGCAGUAGCUGAUUCAGUGCACCGGGGAGCACCAGAUCUGCUCUCUCCCUCCACGAAAAGGCCAAUACCUCCCCCCGCCAGCAUUUCC
ensembl:lncRNA